rnacentral:rRNA from 1 species
UACGUAGGCAGCGAGCGUUGUUCGGAGUUACUGGGCGUAAAGCGUGCGUAGGCGGUGGUCCAAGUCUGGUGUGAAAUCUCCCGGCUCAACCGGGAGGGUGCGCCGGAAACUGGGCCGCUGGAGUGCCGGAGAGGCAAGCGGAAUUCCUGGUGUAGCGGUGAAAUGCGUAGAUAUCAGGAGGAACACCCGUGGUGUAGACGGCUUGCUGGACGGCAACUGACGCUGAGGCACGAAAGCGUGGGGAGCAAACAGGAUUAGAAACCCCCGUAGUCC